UACGAAGGGGGCUAGCGUUGCUCGGAAUCACUGGGCGUAAAGCGCGCGUAGGCGGGCUGGAAAGUCAGGGGUGAAAGUCCCGGGGCCUCAACCCUGGAAUUGGACCUUUGAGACUCCCAGCCUUGAGUUCGAGAGAGGUGAGUGGAAUUCCGAGUGUAGAGGUGAAAUUCGAUAGAUAUCGGGAGGAACACCAGUGGCGAAGGCGGCGAUCUGGGGAAGAUACUGACGCUGAGGUGGCGAAAGCGAUGGGGAGCAAACAGGG
rnacentral:rRNA from 1 species